AAGUCGUAACAAGGUUUCCGUAGGUGAACCUGCGGAAGGAUCAUUAUCGAGUUUGUGGCGUCCUCUUGGUUGAGCUGGCUUGAAAGGGCAAGUGCUCGCCGGGAUGUGGCGUUCUUUCUCUAAACCCCCCCUCUUGCUUGUGCACAUCCGCGUGGGUCUGAAGGUAGCUUUAUCCCCUUUUUCGGGGAAGGAAGCGCUCGAAGGCUUGCGUCUUUUUCAUACACUCUUUUGAAAGGAUAACAGAAUGUUUGUCUUGCGUUUACGCAAAACCUAUACAACUUUCAGCAACGGAUCUCUUGGCUCUC
rnacentral:misc_RNA from 1 species